GAGUCAGUGGUUCAAACGGCGGAACAGCAGCCUCCAACACUGUCUAUCGGGGUUCGAUGCUCCGCUGACUCGCCA
rnacentral:tRNA from 1 species